AUAACUAACAAAUGCUUAUUUGUACUAGUUUGUUUGUUCAUUCGUUUGUUAAUAUAUUUAUGUAUAAAUGUUAGAUUGCUGGGUGGAACUCUUCUGCAUCAGCAGCCGGAGUCUGAGAGAGAGAGAGAGAGUACAGUAGAUCAUGCUGUUUCUCCAUCAGCAGCCGGAGUCUGAGAGAGAGAGAGAGAGAGAGAGAGAGUACAGUAGAUCAUGCUGUUUCUCCAUCAGCAGCCGGAGUCUGAGAGAGAGAGAGAGAGAGAGAGAGAGAGUACAGUAGGUCAUGCUGCUGUUUCUCCAUCAGCAGCCGGAGUCUGAGAGAGAGAGAGAGAGAGAGUAAAGUACUGUUAGCUGAUGUAUCACAGCUGGCAAUCCGGCUCUUUACUCCAAAUGCUCUGUGAUGCUGCCUAGUGAUGCCAUAUUGAUUGGAGUCUGAAUUCACAUGUAUCGGAGGAGGCGUGCACUUAUCCUCACCCUCACCUCCGAGUGCUGGAGGCAUUGUAGUGAUAGGAAACAGAAAACAGGCCUAAAUUAGAUUUUUUUUUUUU